AAUGAACGUUGGCGGCGUGGAUUAGGCAUGCAAGUUGAGCGAGAAGUUUUAAAAAGAUACUUCGGUUGAUUUUUAAAAUGGACAGCGGCGAAAGGGAGAGUAACGAGUAGAUACGUACCCAAGGGUCCGGGAUAGCCAUGCGAAAGCGUGAGUAAUACCGGAUAAUGUCUCCGGACCAAAGAUUUAUUGCCCUUGGAGCGGUUUGCUUACUAUUAGGUAGUUGGUGGGGUAAAGGCCUACCAAGCCAAAGAUGGUUAGCGGGUGUGAGAGCAUGGCCCGUCUCACUGGGACUGAGACACUGCCCAGACACCUACGGGUGGCUGCAGUCGAGAAUCUUCCGCAAUGGGCGAAAGCCUGACGGAGCGACGCCGCGUGGUGGAUGAAGGCCCUCGGGUUGUAAACACCUGUCGUAGGGGAGGAAAUUUUGACCGAUCCUAGGAGGAAGCACAGGCUAAGUUCG
rnacentral:rRNA from 1 species